UACAGAGGUCUCAAGCGUUGUUCGGAUUCAUUGGGCGUAAAGGGCGCGUAGGCGGCCAUGCGUGUCUUCCGUGAAAUCCCUCGGCUUAACUGAGGACGUGCGGAAGAAACUGCAAGGCUCGAGUCCGGGAGAGGGGGGUGGAAUUCCCAGUGUAGCGGUGAAAUGCGUAGAUAUUGGGAGGAACACCGGUGGCGAAGGCGGCCCCCUGGACCGGUACUGACGCUGAGGCGCGAAAGCGUGGGUAGCAAACGGG
rnacentral:rRNA from 1 species